ACGCUGGCGGCGUGCUUAACACAUGCAAGUCGAACGAACCUUCGGGUUAGUGGCGGACGGGUGAGUAACGCGUGGGAAUCUGCCCUCAGGAGGGGGAUAACGGCCGGAAACGGCCGCUAAUACCCCAUAUGCCGAGAGGUGAAAUGAAUUUCGCCUGAGGAUGAGCCCGCGUCUGAUUAGCUAGUUGGUGAGGUAAGAGCUCACCAAGGCAUCGAUCAGUAGCUGGUCUGAGAGGAUGAUCAGCCACACUGGGACUGAGACACGGCCCAGACUCCUACGGGAGGCAGCAGUGGGGAAUUUUCCGCAAUGGGCGAAAGCCUGACGGAGCAACGCCGCGUGAGGGAUGAAGGCCUCUGGGCUGUAAACCUCUUUUAUCAAGGAAGAAGAU
rnacentral:rRNA from 1 species